rnacentral:lncRNA from 1 species
GGGGCUAAUCCGGUCCCCUUGAAUAAUGCUUUAUGUUGGAUAUAGUUCAACCCCUACUGUGGAGACCAGGGCUCCACUACCCUUAGAUCUGGUUCCUCCACCUAUCCUGACCCUGCCGCCUGGUUCUGAGCCUUACCCUGGGGCUUGGCUCCAGCCUUUGAUAAAUAGUUGCUCCAGAAUUCCACCCUGGGGGCUCAUCAUGUCAUAUUUUGUCCUUUGCCUUUCUUUUCACGCUCGCUCGCUCUCUUUUUUUUUUUUUUUUUUUUUUUUUUGAGACAGGGUGUGUAUCUGUCACCCACGCUAGAGUGCAGUGGCAGAAUUAUCACUCACUGCAGCCUCGACCUCCUGGGCUCAAGUGAUCCUCCCAGCUCAGCCUUCCAGAGUAGCGGGGACUGCAGACCUACACCACCAUGCCCAGUUGCCCGGUUAAUUUUUUUUCUGACAGUUUGAAGAGGGGAGAAGGUCUCACUGUGUUGCCCAGGCUGGUCUCAAACUCCCGGGCUCAAGCGAUUCUCCCACCCUGGCGUCCCAAAGUGCUGGGGUUACAGGUGUGAGCCAUCACACCCGGCUGUGCUCUCUCUGAGUGUUUCUGCUUGUGGUGGGGGGCUUGUUCCCGCUCUUCCCACAGGAACCCAGGAUGUGGCACAGCUUCCCUGCCGUCUUCCUUCACUCAAUUGCCUACGCCUCCCAUCCUAGCUCCACCUCCAGAACUGCCCUCCCCCUGGGCUGGGUGCUUGUUUUGUUUUUAGAGACAGGGUCUCACUGUCGCCCAGGCUGGAGUGCAAUGGCGUGAUCUCGGCUCACUGCCACCCCCAUCUCCAGAGUUCAAGUGAUUCUCUUGCGUCAGCCUUCCGAGUAGCUAGGAUUACAGGCAUGCACCACCAUGCCUGGCUAAUUUUUAUAUUUUUAGUAGAGAUGAGGUUUCAGCAUGUUGGCCAGGCUGGUCUCGAACUCCUGGCUUCAGGUGACCCACCCGCCUCACCUCCCAAGGUGCUGGGAUUACAGGCGUGGGCCACUGCACCCGGCCAGCUGGGUCCUUGUUCUGCUGCCCAGGCUUGGCCCUGGUUCCGUGGGUUGGUUCUACUUUUUGUUCUCCAAUCUUCUGCCUCCUGCCUCCUGCCUCCUCCUUGAGCUUAGCCCCACCCUCUCAGCCUGAUUUCUGUUUCCCAAGUCCAGCUGUGCCAUGGGAUAGGUGGGAUAGGUUUUGCUAACUUUUGCUGUUUCCAUCGUGCUUACACCUCCCUGAUCCUGGGCUCUGGGGACUCCCCAUGGUUUCCUUACUUCGGCAGGCCCAAAAUGAUGGCCUCUCCUAACCCAAGGCAGGGGAUCUUCCUCCCAACUCUGGACCAAGGUGGCAUUUCCUGCACACCCCUCCAGGCCGAGAUGAUGCUCGCUGUCAACUCUCUAGGCCAAGGUGGCAUCUCCUCCUGACUCUCCAGACCUAAAGUGACACCCUUCAGGUACUUGGGCCCAAUUCAGCCUUGCCCUGGUGCUUUGGGCUCCAGAUGACAGCACUUUGCAGAUAAGAACGAUAUGACGUGUGGAUUUCACUACAUUUGGCUCAUGGAUGCUAUAAAAGGACUUGGAUUUCUGACUUGGCUCAGGGACUGGGGUUAGCAGCCACUUUCUGCUCCUUCUCACCUGCGCUUUCUUCUGAUCCCAGCUCUGGUCCCUCAACCGUAUUCAUAUUUACUCUCCCCUCCCAACCUGAUACCCUGUCCCUUAUCCCAACCCAAAGCCAAGAUCUGAGCCCCCAAGAUGGAGAAUGGGGAGGAGCUUUCUAUGGCAGACUGAUUAAAACUCUUAAGCAU